UACGGGGGGGAGCAAGCGUUGUUCGGAUUUACUGGGCGUAAAGGGCGCGUAGGCGGCCACCGCAAGUCGACUGUGAAAUCUCCGGGCUAACCCGGAAAGGUCAGCCGAUACUGCGGGGCUAGAGUGCAGAAGGGGCAACUGGAAUUCUCGGUGUAGCGGUGAAAUGCGUAGAUAUCGAGAGGAACACCUGCGGCGAAGGCGGGUUGCUGGGCUGACACUGACGUGAGGCGCGAAAGCUAGGGGAGCGAACAGG
rnacentral:rRNA from 1 species